GACGAACGCUGGCGGCGUGCUUAACACAUGCAAGUCGAACGGAAAGGCCUCUUUCGGGGGGUACUCGAGGGGCGAACGGGUGAGUAACACGGAAGUAACCUGCCCUUGACUUUGGGAUAACUUCAGGAAACGGGGGCUAAUACCGGAAAGGAGCUCCUGCUGCAGGGUGGGGGUUGGAAAGUUUCGGCGGUUGGGGAUGGACUCGCGGCUUAUCAGCUUGUUGGUGGGGUAGUGGCUUACCAAGGCUUUGACGGGUAGCCGGCCUGAGAGGGUGACCGGCCACAUUGGGACUGAGAUACGGCCCAGACUCCUACGGGAGGCAGCAGUGGGGAAUAUUGCACAAUGGGUGGAAGCCUGAUGCAGCAACGCCGUGUGCGGGAUGACGGCCUUCGGGUUGUAAACCGCUUUCGCUCAUGACGAAGCUUUGUGUGACGGUAGUGGGUAAAGAAGCACCGGCUAACUACGUG
rnacentral:rRNA from 1 species